CACUAGAAACAAAAGAGUGAGGCCAGUCCAUGGGCUUCCUGUGUGCACACAGCUUCCUCACAACAGCUCCUGUGUGUUGAAAUGACUUCUUUGUCUACACAUCUAUCCGCCCAACCUCCAGGUGGCUGGAGAACCUUGUCUUUGCCUGAUAGGUCCUAGAGCUCCAAAGAUGCUGUCAGAGGCAGUAGCUCUCAAACACAGCCUUGGCUUAAUCAUAUAACCUGCUACACACCACUGCUCAGAAGCACCUGCUAGCAUUCGAGUACCAAGCAAGUGGCCCUUGGUGAAUUCCCAUCCUACACUCCAACUCCCUUUGGAAAGAAAAUGAAGCUAGCACCCAAGGUUCCCUCCCCCCACCCUGUGCAGAGAACCCUGCACAGGAUGGCAAGGCUUUCAUCCCCUCCAGUUUCUCCCAAAAUUUUUAUUUCCUUUUGCAGAUUAACAUAAUUAAUGAUUUGGGUUCAUCCUGUUGAUCUGCAUUUUAAUGAGGUUCUGUGGGCUUUUUUUUUUUUUUUUGACCUGGUAUUUCCUGACCCAAGUACCUUAUUUCAUCCUCAUUUGGAAAUAUGCUACUUCCUCCUCGUUGUUUUGAAGCCUACCUAAUUGGCUUCACGUGGAGAGUCUGGUCCCCAUCCCCACACAUGCAGAGCACCAGCUAAUGUUCAUCAUUGAUCAUCGUGGACUGUCAGCGAGACUCUCAGGUGAGAACAGAGACCUGGCUUCCAGCAAGCCCCUCAUGGGCCCCUGAAAGGCUCUUUCUCCUCAAGCCCUCCAUAAGCAAUCUACGUGUGAGUGAAACCAUUGUCACUCCAUGGUUGACUUUUCCACUUGCCUGCUUUCUCUUUACACUCAUGACAGUUCUCUCUUUCUCUGUGCCCAGUCUCCUUUGGCAUCAGGCUUGGACUAUGGGAGAAACAAUUAUGUGAGUGGCUGUUCACCCUGGAGAUGAAGGAAUUAUGGAGUUAACCCUGCUGAUAUUUGGAAAUUCUAAAAAAAAAAAAAGGAUUUUAAUAUGUCCCUUAAAAUAUUAGUCCUUCGUGCUCACUUCCGCAGCACAUAUACUUAAAAAAAAAAUUAGUCCUUAACCUGUAAUUCCAGCUAUUUGAGACACUGAGCAAGAACAUUACCAGUUCAAGUACAGCCUAGGCAACUUAGUAAGAUGUUGUCUAAUGAAAUAAAAAUGAGUUGGGGGAUGGACAUUCCUGGUACUCAAGGUUCUAGAUUCAAUCCCCCAGACAGAAGAAUCAAUCAUAUCUUUAAGAUAUUAAUUUCAUAAAUAUUUUUCUUAUAUUUGCUAAAGCCUUUUCUUCUUGGUGGAGUAGCUUUCAGAUUGACUUUCAAACCAAGUUGUCCUCUCUGCGUCUGUCUUUCUUUCUACAGCCCUCCUCCCUGCUCCCUGUCUGAAAGGUCUACAUAUUCCAUGAAUCCUUGUGGGAGCCUGACUCUUAUAAGGUGUCAAGUUGGGGGCUGUGGUCAGAAUCACACAAUGCAAAACUGUCUAACUAAAGGACAGGAAGAAGAGUUUAGGUGUUUCAGAAGAUUGAAGGAUUGGAGACAACAUUUUGUUUAAGAUGCUGAUUUUGACACUCACUGUUGCCGGGUCCAGCUUGAAGCAGGGAAUUUUUUUUUGUUGUUGUUGAUAGAAGGGAAUAUGGGGGAUUCUUGCUGGGUUUGGAGAGAGUACUUGAUUGCUGAUUAAAAUCUGCAUCGCUAAUGCAAACCUGAACCUUUCAGGAAGCAGGCUGUGAGAAGUCCUAA
rnacentral:sRNA from 1 species